GACGAACGUUGGCGGCGUGCUUAACACAUGCAAGUCGAACGGAAAGGCCCUGCUUUUGUGGGGUGCUCGAGUGGCGAACGGGUGAGUAACACGUGAGUAACCUGCCCUUGACUUUGGGAUAACUUCAGGAAACUGGGGCUAAUACCGGAUAGGAGCUCCUGCUGCAUGGUGGGGGUUGGAAAGUUUCGGCGGUUGGGGAUGGACUCGCGGCUUAUCAGCUUGUUGGUGGGGUAGUGGCUUACCAAGGCUUUGACGGGUAGCCGGCCUGAGAGGGUGACCGGCCACAUUGGGACUGAGAUACGGCCCAGACUCCUACGGGAGGCAGCAGUGGGGAAUAUUGCACAAUGGGCGGAAGCCUGAUGCAGCAACGCCGCGUGCGGGAUGACGGCCUUCGGGUUGUAAACCGCUUUCGCCUGUGACGAAGCGUGAGUGACGGUAAUGGGUAAAGAAGCACCGGCUAACUACGUGCCAGCAGCCGCGGUGAUACGUAGGGUGCGAGCGUUGUCCGGAUUUAUUGGGCGUAAAGGGCUCGUAGGUGGUUGAUCGCGUCGGAAGUGUAAUCUUGGGGCUUAACCCUGAGCGUGCUUUCGAUACGGGUUGACUUGAGGAAGGUAGGGGAGAAUGGGAUUCCUGGUGGAGCGGUGGAAUGCGCAGAUAUCAGGAGGAACACCAGUGGCGAAGGCGGUUCUCUGGGCCUUUCCUGACGCUGAGGAGCGAAAGCGUGGGGAGCGAACAGGCUUAGAUACCCUGGUAGUCCACGCUGUAAACGGUGGGUACUAGGUGUGGGGUCCAUUCCACGGGUUCCGUGCCGUAGCUAACGCUUUAAGUACCCCGCCUGGGGAGUACGGCCGCAAGGCUAAAACUCAAAGGAAUUGACGGGGCCCCGCACAAGCGGCGGAGCAUGCGGAUUAAUUCGAUGCAACGCGUAGAACCUUACCUGGGUUUGACAUGGAUCGGGAGUGCUCAGAGAUGGGUGUGCCUCUUUUGGGGUCGGUUCACAGGUGGUGCAUGGCUGUCGUCAGCUCGUGUCGUGAGAUGUUGGGUUAAGUCCCGCAACGAGCGCAACCCUUGUUCACUGUUGCCAGCACGUUAUGGUGGGGACUCAGUGGAGACCGCCGGGGUCAACUCGGAGGAAGGUGGGGAUGACGUCAAGUCAUCAUGCCCCUUAUGUCCAGGGCUUCACGCAUGCUACAAUGGCUGGUACAGAGAGUGGCGAGCCUGUGAGGGUGAGCGAAUCUCGGAAAGCCGGUCUCAGUUCGGAUUGGGGUCUGCAACUCGACCUCAUGAAGUCGGAGUCGCUAGUAAUCGCAGAUCAGCAACGCUGCGGUGAAUACGUUCCCGGGGCU
rnacentral:rRNA from 1 species